GAUGAACGCUGGCGGCGUGCCUAAUACAUGCAAGUCGAGCGAACAGACGAGGAGCUUGCUUCUCUGACGUUAGCGGCGGACGGGUGAGUAACACGUGGAUAACCUACCUAUAAGACUGGGAUAACUUCGGGAAACCGUAGCUAAUACCGGAUAAUAUAUUGAACCGCAUGGUUCAAUAGUGAAAGACGGUCUUGCUGUCACUUAUAGAUGGAUCCGCGCUGCAUUAGCUAGUUGGUAAGGUAACGGCUUACCAAGGCAACGAUGCGUAGCCGACCUGAGAGGGUGGUCGGCCACACUGGAACUGAGACACGGUCCAGACGCCUACGGGAGGCAGCAGUAGGGAAUCUUCCGCAAUGGGCGAAAGCCUGACGGAGCAACGCCGCGUGAGUGAUGAAGGUCUUCGGAUCGUAAAACUCUGUUAUUAGGGAAGAACAUAUGUGUAAGUAACUGUGCACAUCUUGACGGUACCUAAUCAGAAAGCCACGGCUAACUACGUG
rnacentral:rRNA from 1 species